CUGACAACCUGGAGACAAAAAUCUUUAGCCCCCCACAAGAAGGGCAGCUGUGCCAGCCUCCCCACAGUGCCCUGCCAAUGUGCCUCAGUCCAAUGCUAUGAGAACUAUUUUGUGACUUGGGAAAGGAGUUCAGUCUCCAUGGCCCAUUCAGUCCUCAGCCUCU
rnacentral:sRNA from 1 species